UAGAGCUCCCCCAAAGUGAACCGCAGCCAUUCUCAGCAUCAAGGUGCCAAGUUCCUCUGAUAACAGCCGAGCUCAUAUCAGGGAAGCCAGCAUGACAAACUCCUCUAGGAGAAUCAACAGCUCCAAAAGAACAGCAGCUCCAAACAACAACAUGGCUUAGGAAACACACAGUGUUAGUCUUCUUCUCUACUUCUCCUUUUUAUGCUGGCAAGUGUCCUCAGGGCAAAGGACCUUCCUUCCAGCUUCUGGACAGCUCCUGGGACACCCCACCCCACGCAGUUCCCGUCUGGAAGCAUGUGGGAAGGUGUGGCUUGUAUAUCACGAUACUGGAUGCCCUCUUGGAGAGUGAGAGUUCACAGGGGAAGAGACUGGACUGAUCUGUCCUGCAGAGGAAGGGGAUGGGUAAGGGGGCUGGAGUACAGGAUACCACCCAGCAGGGAGAGGGGGUCCACCGAUGAAAGGGUACAGAGGCACCUGCUCACGGAGGUUUUUAAGUUGAGCAUGAGUACUGCCAUGCUGAAUGAACACGAAUUCCAGAUAUACACUUUGCUUAAUAAGCUUCCUCAAUAUUGUAAAAGGUACAUGAAGAAUGGCAGCGGCCCCCUCUGGUGGUAACGUGCAAAACCAAACCAGUCAAGAAAGGGUGAUGUUAGAAAGAAAGGUAUCUGGGAUGUUUAUUCUGAGCUGUGUCUUCAGCCUUGUUUGUUAUUUUGAGACAAGCUCUCACUAAGCCAAUGUUGCCCAGGUUGCGCUUAGACUGUCUGUCCUCCUGCCUCAGCCUGCCAGAGUGUUGGCAAUUAGAUACUGAAAAAAGAGUUCGGCAAAACCUGCCUAGUGUAUCUUGUCUUUACUUUGCUUUUCAUCAGUUGACAAGUUUUGGAAAUCACUCCAUGUCCAUCUAUGUGAAACCACUGUGUUUUAGUCAAUAUCUGCACAGCAGGCAGGACAUCUCAUGACAUUAAAUGGAUCUCUAAUUCAGGUUUUUCUAUACAAUGUGGCUACAAAUAUCUUCACAUAUAUGUGUGUAGAACCAGAAAUUUAAAGGUUAAAAACAAGAUGCUGUUUCUCAGCUAGAAACAGCACUGGGCCUCGUGACUCAGUCCUAACUCAGCCCUGCAAAAAUAAAAACAACCUCUGUGGCUGUGAUAUGCUGGGGAUGUGCUGUGCCAGGGAACUCAAGAGAUAGAGCCUGCCAUUAUGCUAAUCAGGGUUGUAAAAUAUGUCAGACUCAAGUCUACAGAAACCAGGUGUCUUAAAGACAAGUUGUGCAGAACAAAGACAGUUAAUUAACUCUGACCUGCUGGUCACCCCUUAUGAAUUGACCAAUAGCAGAUAGAUAAGAUGCCCACCACUCCGCACUAACUAUAAUGAUUGGCUUCUGUAAUAAAUGCUUACAUUGCAGUUUUUCCCCCUUAAAAACACCAGCCCUGCCCCAACUCAGGGUUCUCUGUUUCCACCUGUUUGGAGGACCCCGUGUACACGGAAUAAUAAAAACCCCUUUGUUUUUA